rnacentral:rRNA from 1 species
CCUACGGGUGGCAGCAGUGAGGAAUAUUGGUCAAUGGGCGCGAGCCUGAACCAGCCAAGUAGCGUGAAGGAUGACUGCCCUACGGGUUGUAAACUUCUUUUAUAAAGGAAUAAAGUGAGGCACGUGUGCCUUUUUGUAUGUACUUUAUGUAUAAGGAUCGGCUAACUCCGUGCCAGCAGCCGCGGUAAUCCGGAGGAUCCGAGCGUUAUCCGGAUUUAUUGGGUUUAAAGGGAGCGUUGUUGGGUUGUUAAGUCAGUUGGGAAAGUUUGCGGCUUAACCGUAAAAUUGCAAUUGAUACUGGCAGCCUUGAGUAAAGUAGAGGUAGGCGGAAUUCGUGGUGUAGCGGUGAAAUGCUUAGAUAUCGCGAAGAACACCGAUGGCGAAGGCAGCUUACUAAGCUGCCACUGACAUUGAUGCUCGAAAGUGUGGGUAUCAAACAGGAUGAGAUACCCGGGUAGUC